GAUGAACGCUGGCGGCGUGCCUAAUACAUGCAAGUCGAGCGAACAGACGAGGAGCUUGCUCCUCUGACGUUAGCGGCGGACGGGUGAGUAACACGUGGAUAACCUACCUAUAAGACUGGGAUAACUUCGGGAAACCGGAGCUAAUACCGGAUAAUAUAUUGAACCGCAUGGUUCAAUAGUGAAAGACGGUUUUGCUGUCACCUAUAGAUGGAUCCGCGCCGCAUUAGCUAGUUGGUAAGGUAACGGCUUACCAAGGCAACGAUGCGUAGCCGACCUGAGAGGGUGAUCGGCCACACUGGAACUGAGACACGGUCCAGACUCCUACGGGAGGCAGCAGUAGGGAAUCUUGCGCAAUGGGCGAAAGCCUGACGGAGCAACGACGCGUGAGUGAUGAAGGUCUUCGGAUCGUAAAACUCUGUUAUUAGGGAAGAACAAAUGUGUAAGUAACUAUGCACGUCUUGACGGUACCUAAUCAGAAAGCCACGGCUAACUACGUG
rnacentral:rRNA from 1 species